rnacentral:snRNA from 1 species
GUGCUCAAUUUGGCAGCACAUAUACUAAAAUUGGAACAAUACAUAGAAGAUUAGGAUGGCUCCUGCACAAGAAUGGCACGCAAAUUUGUGAAGUGUUCAAUAUCUUU